GCGGGUAUCGUAUAGCGGCAUUAUGUCACCUUGCCAUGGUGAAGAUACGGGUUCGACUCCCGUUACCCGCU
rnacentral:tRNA from 1 species